AAAUGUCAUUUUCUGUUUCAAACACAUUAAUAAUAUUUUUGUAUAUCACAUAUAUUUCAGGCUGCCUUCCCGGAUCCUAUCAAAGAAAACAACCAGCAUCAGGCGGCGAAGAUUCAUUUUUAAUAAGAAUAUUUUUAUUGUUUAUAUUAAGAAGUAUUUAAAACAAUGCUUCGUGGUGACCUUUUAUACAAUUCCUAUUGCAUUUGGUUAUUCUUUAAAUGAAAGCAGAAAUAAAUUAAGUAUUAUCUCCUUCCCUUCAGAAAUUAGAAACAAAGUGUUACUGAUUGCAAUGCUGUGUGAUUAAUGACUGGGAGUCACAUUGUCAGUGACUUUUUUAAAGUGAAAGAACGGGUUAAAUAGAUAUAGUAAUGAUAAAGAUUAGAAUUUGAAUUUUUGGGGAAUUGUUUGACAAAUAAAGCUUCACAAAAAUUUUAAUGCAAUAACCAAUCAUUUAUGUCAAGCGGUUUUCGAAAUUUAAGUUGUUAUUGCCGUGAAAAUCUAUCAAUAGCAUCAAGGAUUUUAUAUCUAAAUUCGCAAUUAGCGAAUCAGCAGUUUGCUCUGAAGGUGGAUUUCUGCACUUUCCCAGAAAGGUACAUCUGAAAUGGUCGUUUAAUAGAAGCCGGGCCUAAACAAGGCAUUGAAUAAAAAUCUGGAAUUUGUACCGGGUUGCAUUUAGUAUCUCCAAGCCCCAAUCUGACCAUAUCAAUAUACCUCCUAGAUAUAUUUCUUUUCCUGUUGAUGUUUAGAUAUGUGUAUUUAGUGAAAAAUUGACGCCGUUGUCGAACAUUUUUUACAUAAAAGCACAAAACAAUACAAAUAUGGAGGAUUGCAAGAAAGAGCCUGGCGCCAUAUAUAAAACUCAUGUAUAAUGUAUUAUAUUGACAGGCGGUUAUGCUUUGUCAUUGGGAUACCAAACAUCACGUACGUAUUAUUUUAUAUCGAUUGGGCAUAUUCAUAACAACAAAAACACUUCGGUUAUACAAAAGAUCAUAUAAAUGCAAUAACACAGCUCUCCUGGAGCCUCCAAAUUUCAAAUUUCCGUGAAAGAGGGAGAUAGAACACGCACCGGACCUGAAGUCGUGCAGAAAUUGUACCACUGAAUAUUAUACUGAGUUAAAAUGCAUGCUUUAAUUUAGAAAUACAUUUAAGAAAAAUCAGCAAUUGUGGCAGAUCAAAUGCACAAAGAAAUUCCAGUCAUUAGCUGACAAAAUGUAAGUCAUAAGCCUUUGAAAUGACCUUUGGCUUGUACAGCAAUAACUCACCACUUAAUGAACAACCAACGGAAGCGCCUUCACUACCUCACAAUACAGCCCAUCACACAACUUCACCAUGGUUUUUCUAUCCCUCUUUAAUCCCACUAAGACGCAGCACCUUAUAAACUAGCCUCACCAACUUGUGUCGAUAUAAUGUGAAGUUAGAAGAGGAUCCAAAUCACAGUCGCCAAGGCAUUAGGUCCUGGAUCCAAUGCCUCCCACCAUAAUGUGUGUAAUGUAUUCACGUGGCCAUACGUCAAUUUAUAAGCUUUUAUUUCUCUGUAAUCACUGGAAGUAAGUAUUUGCAGAGAAAACUCGCUACUUUCCAAGGAAUCCACUAAGAUGGACAAACUUUAAACAGUUGGUUACUUUCAGGUGGUUUUGAUAAAUGUGCUCAGCCAUGGUCUGAACGGUAAGUUUUUAAUCAUCUUGCUUAUUAAUUUCGCAGAAGUGCGAGCGAGCUCUAACACUGCGGCCCUAAACCCUUAAAAAGCAGUAUAGUCAAGUAAAUAGAGUUAGUAAAAUAAAUAUGUGAAAAAGUUUUGGAAACUUUUUGUCACUUUACUAAAUUGCUAAACUAGGUUGGCAGGAGAAAGUCGAGAUAGUUAUGUAUUUAUUACGUUUACUGCUCACCAGAACAUAGGGCAACCGAGUGUACCUCUAAGUCCAAGGCAGUUUCUGUACUGGGACCUGACUUUAUUCGGAGAUUGUAAGUUUAAAGACAGACUAUCAGGCAAAUGUUGAUAGUUAUCAUGGCGAGAGCUAUACAGAUAUUUAUUGAAAUUUUAGGUGAAGUUAUAAGUGAGUGGCCCCAUCGAGCAAAAUGAAAUGCUACUCACAGUAAUUGGAUUUAGCUGGCUAACAUGGCAGACCAGCAGCUUCGAGGCAUGCAGCAAUGAAAAAUGUUCGACUCAAAAAGUUUUUUUUAACCGACGGAAGAGCGCGCGCACAGACACACGCGCACACAGACACACACACACACACACACACACACACACACACACACACACACACACACACACACACGUACACACACACACACUCACACACACUAUACACCCACAUACACAUCCACACACAGACACGCACACCACACACACACACACACACACACACACACACACUCACACACUUAGAAGUUAAAUACCUGUGGACAAUCCGAGAAAGUGCCCCUUACACACACAAUGAUUUGGGUAACUUAUAUGUGCACAUUUACAUUAAGAAAGCAGUGGAUGUCCCUUCGUAAUUACAACGAUUACGACACUUAAUUAGGUGCACUGUUUUAGUGCAGUUUAAUUUAGAAGCAGCAAUUUCAAUCACAGUUUAGAUCCCAGGUUAUGCCCAUUUCUGAAAAGCAUCUAGGAGUACGUAAUAAUAUUAAGAUACCAUAUUCAGGCCUGGAAAUGACACGGUACUUUGUAUUUUAAGAUGGAAAGUAAUAGAGCUGCAUUCUAGACAGUAUUUAAUAAAAGUAAGUAAAUGCGUUUCUGGAACUGGAAGGGAAAAAUAAUUAUCUUAACAUUUAGCAUUUAAGUUCUACUGAAACUGUAGCCAAAUCUUUAGCGAACGGAAUCAAAAGGGGAUUAUUUAAUUUCUUAUAAAACCUAGUCAAACUUGAAGUGUAUAAUUACAGAAAUGUUGCAUUUAAGCAAUUGCAGAGAUUACCCUCUGACGUGACCGCAGUAAAAUAAAAUUAUACUCGAUCUUUUAUACUGAAUAAUUUUUGAACUACCUUUAUACUGAGUUCCUCGAAAUUCAUAAAUUGUUUUCCUUGAACGACAAUAACCUUAAUUGAGAAAUAAUUUAUACAGGCUGCUGCAAUAACUUCAGCCCGCAAUAUAUUUCUGUAACGCAUAAAUCACAGAAGACUGCAGCCUGACGAUAAGCUAGAGACAACAAAUUAAUGUGAUUUACGAUCUAAGUUUGCUUGUGACAGUUUGAAAAGUUCCCUGGGUUUCUGUGCCUUUUUAUUUCGUUUUCAUUUUACAUAAAACUGCAGAAUCAGCUGAAAUAUAGCCACAAGACAAAUUUGGGACUACUCUGGUUUGCCCGAUCUAACCUUUCUCAAAUGGCGCACUUUCGUGAAACAGCAAAAUGUUCUUGAAAAUCGACUUUUCUUUUGCUACAAAAUCAUUUUUCUUAUCUCCCACAGAAAUGCACGUUUGAAUCAGAAUUUCAUACAAUUUGGUGGGAACAAUAUGCCCUUUCGCUGCAGGGAUUAUGCAAACUUACUGCUAAAGACAAUGCUGUCUUAAACCAGAUCUUGCGGCUUUACAGACAUUUCGAUACGAAAAGCAGACGGUAUUCCCGAUAGAAAUGGCUUCAGUCUCAGGAACAACUACCAAUAAAAACGGCGUACAGAGGUGUUUUUGCUUUAAAUCUAAAUCGAUAUUUUGUAAUCGAGCAACUAACAAGAAAGUGAUAUUUAUAAACCGGCGAGGCAUUUAAAAUCACAGGAGCCAGUAGCAACUGGGCGCUGGGAAAUAUUUCAUUCUGCUUCUGGUCUUAUUUUGUUUUCUCCCUCCUGAAAUUGCUUUGUUGAAUUAUAAUGUUUUUAGUUAUGGAAAAUUAAUUCUCAGUUGCAUUUUAUCGAACUGCUUAAUAUUUCUGUUAAAUGCUACUAGAAACUAUUUUAACCUCUAAAACAUUUGUCUGUAAUUUAAUAGCAAUAAAAAACAUUUCUAUUGACAGUAAUGCAUGACCUUAUUGCACCUAGCACAGGCUUAACGCAACAUUUAUCUAAAUUACUUUACCCUCUGUGGCUCUAUAUGGUCGUUACAGAAAUAUUGCUUUGCAAUUACUGCAUUAUAAAUUAUUUAAAAGGAAAUAAAACAGUUACAUCUCACUGUUUAGCUAAAGAAUUACUUUUCCACUAAAACUAUACAAGCAACUUCAUAUCUUUAUUUUCUGAUGAUCGUUCAUGCUGUGGGAAUUUGUAAAUAUAAUAAAUAUUUUAAAUGAUAUAUAUUUGUGACUUUGAAACAGCCCCUUUUAUAAUAUUGUCCGACCCCACAAAUAUAAAUAGACCAAUUUAUUACCGCAAGUUAUGCCUUCGCUGAUAAUUUUAUGAGGAGCCGAAGAAAAAACCAACUCAGUGCUAACGCUUGCCACUGUGAGAACUCGGCUCUACGAGGAAUAUAAUCAAACGGGCAUUCGAAGACAACUUCGACCGCAGCAUAUGCUCGUAGAGCAAUAAAACGAAGAGAUUUACAAUCUUCGCCUGGCCUCGGCAGCCUCGCGCCCUUUCAGGAAUUACUGCUGGUGAUUUAUAACAGGGUUGGAAAUUGUUGACCCUCCACACCAUAAUACUUUAUUUCGAUUUAAUGAAAAAGUUGUAAUUAAACCGUUUUCAUUGAUUCUUGUCUGCCCGAUUCUUUGCUGGAUCAGAAUUUAAAGGGUAGAGAAUGCAGAGUUGAAGAGAGUUAAAAAAAAACAACUUGGCUUCACAACCGCAACUUUGUCAUCAGUAAAACAGCGUUGCAUUUGUCAUCGGCGAAUAACUGAAUUAAUAGGUUAUUGUUUUAAUGCAUAAUUUAUUUAAAAAGGAAACGAACGUCGACUUUACACACGUGACGACAGCGCAAAUUCAAUUUCCAGAAGAGCGCUACGACAAAAGCAACGGAAGCAAUAAAUGCGAAGGUUCAUAUUGUAAAAUAUCUCCAAUCAAUUUAAUAAAAUCCUUUCUCAAAGACAUCUGUAUUUGCCACGGUAAUUUAUAUAGUUUAAUUACACCUUUAGAGAUGGGGGAAGGAACGGAGCUGUCAUGGUAUGCCACUAAAGCCUGCAGUGUAAUUUAUUGUUAUUGAAGAAUAUUUAUUGAUGUAUAUAUACGAUUACAUUCUUUGCUGCUUCAAUUAUGAUGAUUUGGAUUGUAGAAUCCUUUCUCCUUUUUCACAAAAAGAUUUUACAUUUCUGCUCAGUAUUAUAACUGAAAAUGCUUACUGACAAUAUACUUUUAAUCUUUACCCUCGUAAUAAAACUUUUGCAUGUUACUGUAAAAAACAGUAAUAAAAAACAGUUCAUGCUUGUACUUCACAGCAUUGUAUCAUCCACAAUAUACGUUAGCCAUACUUUAAUGCACUUUCUCAUACUAAUAUAGGUACAGAAAAUCAGAAUUCUGUUAAUCUAUUACCUUAUAAAAUGUGCUCAUAAUUGUUCUUAUUCAGAGAAUCAAUCACUACCAAUUAUUCUUAAAAUGAGCCUAACGCACACUUAAGAAUUUGUGAAUACUCGUUUUGCCUUCCAUUGUAAGAAAUAAAUGCCAAUUAACUGUAAAAACAAAUUCGUAGGUUCAAAGGAAACAUUUGUUUCAUCUUUUAUAACAACACAUCAACUAAAAUAUAAGGCACGAAAUGCCCAUGAAUAUAUUUUCUGUUGACGUAAGUACCUGCAAUUGUUCUCGCUGAAUCUCAUUUACAGACUUUCUAUUACGUCUCAAAGAACACAAAAUAUAUGACUCGUGGUAUUCAAUAUAAGCUCAGGCCUCUACUUCGUUGUGUACAAAUAGGCAGCAGAUGCCAUGACAGCCGGCAUUGUUUGCAAUAAAGCACAAGUAAACCGUAAAAUCUACGCCAUUUCAGGACACAAAACUACGCCUUAAUAAUAAUCCCACCGCAGUCUUACUAAUGUUUACCUCCCACCUCCAAGAUAUAGCAGAUACAAAUUUUUGCACCUGAAGUUUAUCAUAGUUGCUCCAAAAUGUUAAAGCUAAUCCGAAUAGAAGGUCAGUAUAUCAGCCUACUGCAACUUAUGACUGUCGCUUGGUAGCACAUAGUAAGAAGCAAAGGGCGCUAUUCAUCAAAUAUAUAUGACAGUUACAUUCAUUUGCUAUCUUACCAGAAACAAAAC